AGAUGUACUGUGAAACAUGUCUGUAGUGUUAUUGUGGAAAUUGUAUGUAUCAUCAUCGUCAAUUAUUUGCUAACCAUACCACUUAUGGGAGAGGAGACAUGAGCAAAUGGCCUCUCAAUAAGAAAAUGGACAACUUUAUUCAAACAUGCGAGGCCCACAAAGACACGAAACUGGAAAUGUUUUGUGAGGACCAGUCGACUGUGCUGCAGCAUCUGUGCUUUCCUGAAUCACAGUGUUCAAAUGUGCUGCGAGUCCAACUGGAGACAGGAUCUAUGUCAUCAACAGCUCCCAAAAGAAGCUCCUCACACUGUCCACAGAUGGGACCCUGAUAUCCACAUUCACUGAUUUUGCACUACAAAAUCCAUUUGGAGUGCAUGUAACACCAGCAGGUCAGGUCCUUGUCUGUGGGUUCAACUCCCACAUUGUCAUAGUAUGCUAACUCCAUUUUUCUUAAAUGGAUGAAUAAUUAUGAAAUUAAUACAAAACAAGGGACAAAAUUGUCACAAAACCAGUAUUUCAACUCAAAUUGUGACCUUGACCUUGGAGAUAUUGACGUAAUUCUUUCGUGCAACACACCGUCCAAUGAUGGUGAACAAAUGUGCCAAAUGAUUAUAAAAUCUCACAAUGAUUGACAGUUAAGGCCCGGACAAGCUCGUUCAUGGCCACUUAUGACCUUUGAACUCAAAGUGUGACCUUGACCUUGAAGGUAACGACGUAAUUCUUUCGCGCGACACACCGUCUAAUGAUGGUGAACAAAUGAGCCAAAUGAUUUCAAAAUCUCACAAUGAACGACAUAGUUAUAGUCUGGACAAGCUUGUUCUGCGCGCCCGCCGACAUUUGCCAAUCUAAUAACCAGUUUUUUCCUUCGGAAAACCUGGUUAAAAAUACUAAUUUAAUACAAGAAAUGGCAUGAAUAAUUUCACUACUCUUUCUUCAAAAGGAUGACAUUUAAAAUAAACAAAAUAAAAACAUU